rnacentral:piRNA from 1 species
UAGGCGCCAUUUUCAUUAGCUUUGGGGGU